AACGAACGCUGGCGGCAGGCUUAACACAUGCAAGUCGAGCGCCCCGCAAGGGGAGCGGCAGACGGGUGAGUAACGCGUGGGAAUCUACCCAUCUCUACGGAAUAACGCAUGGACACGUGUGCUAAUACCGUAUACGUCCUUCGGGAGAAAGAUUUAUCGGAGAUGGAUGAGCCCGCGUUGGAUUAGCUAGUUGGUGGGGUAAAGGCCUACCAAGGCGACGAUCCAUAGCUGGUCUGAGAGGAUGAUCAGUCACACUGGGACUGAGACACGGCCCAGACUCCUACGGGAGGCAGCAGUGGGGAAUAUUGGACAAUGGGCGCAAGCCUGAUCCAGCCAUGCCGCGUGAGUGAUGAAGGCCCUAGGGUUGUAAAGCUCUUUCACCGGUGAAGAUAAUGACGGUAACCGGAGAAGAAGCCCCGGCUAACUUCGUGCCAGCCGCCGCAGUAAAAC
rnacentral:rRNA from 1 species